rnacentral:rRNA from 1 species
GACAGAGGUGCCGAGCGUUAGGCGGAAUCACUGGGCUUAAAGCGUGUGUAGGUGGAUGUCUAAGUACCUUGUGAAAUCCCACGGCUUAACCGUGGAACGGCUCGGUAUACUGGAUGUCUUGAGCCAGCUAGGGGCUACCGGAACAAAUGGUGGAGCGGUGAAAUGCGUAGAUAUCGGAAGGAACGUCGGCGGCGAAAGCGGUGCACUGGUUGGUCUCUGACGCUGAGGUGCGAAAGCCAGGGGAGCAAACGGG